rnacentral:rRNA from 1 species
GAUGAACGCUGGCGGCGUGCCUAAUACAUGCAAGUCGAGCGAACAGAUGAGGAGCUUGCUCCUCUGACGUUAGCGGCGGACGGGUGAGUAACACGUGGAUAACCUACCUAUAAGACUGGGACAACUUCGGGAAACCGGAGCUAAUACCGGAUAAUAUAUUGAACCGCAUGGUUCAAUAGUGAAAGACGGUUUUGCUGUCACUUAUAGAUGGAUCCGCGCCGCAUUAGCUAGUUGGUAAGGUAACGGCUUACCAAGGCAACGAUGCGUAGCCGACCUGAGAGGGUGAUCGGCCACACUGGAACUGAGACACGGUCCAGACUCCUACGGGAGGCAGCAGUAGGGAAUCUUCCGCAAUGGGCGAAAGCCUGACGGAGCAACGCCGCGUGAGUGAUGAAGGUCUUCGGAUCGUAAAACUCUGUUAUUAGGGAAGAACAAAUGUGUAAGUAACUAUGCACGUCUUGACGGUACCUAAUCAGAAAGCCACGGCUAACUACGUG